GGGCGGUUAGCUCAGCUGGUUAGAGCGCUACGUUGACAUCGUAGAGGUCACUAGUUCGAAUCUAGUACCGCCCA
rnacentral:tRNA from 1 species